rnacentral:rRNA from 1 species
AGAGUUUGAUCAUGGCUCAGAAUGAACGUUGGCGGCGUGGAUUAGGCAUGCAAGUCGUACGGGCCGCAAGGCCAGUGGCGCAAGGGUGAGUAAGGCGACGGUAACCAACCCCAUGACUGGGUAUAGCCGCGGGAAACUGCGGGUAAUCCCCAGCGACGUCCCGGGGGGGCAUCCCCUGGGGACCAAAGCUCCGGCGUCGUGGGACGGGCCGUCGUGGUAUUAGGUUGUUGGCGGGGUAACGGCCCACCAAGCCUGCGAUGCCUACCGGGCGUGCGAGCGCGACCCGGCACACUGGGACUGAGACACUGCCCAGACUCCUACGGGAGGCUGCAGUCGAGAAUCUUCGGCAAUGGGCGCAAGCCUGACCGAGCGACGCCGCGUGGAGGAUGAAGGCCUUCGGGUUGUAAACUCCUGUCGAGGGGAAAGAAGGCCGGGUAACCGGCUUGACUGAUCCCUGGAGGAAGCACGGGCUAAGUUCGUGCCAGCAGCCGCGGUAAGACGAACCGUGCGAACGUUAUUCGGAAUCACUGGGCUUAAAGCGCGUGUAGGCGGGACGGCACGUCGGUCGCUGAAAUCCCCCGGCUCAACCGGGGAACGGGCGCCGAUACGACCGCCCUGGAGGGACGUAGGGGGACCUGGAACUUCCGGUGGAGCGGUGAAAUGCGUUGAGAUCGGAAGGAACGCCCGUGGCGAAAGCGAGGUCCUGGACGUUUUCUGACGCUGAGACGCGAAAGCCAGGGGAGCGAACGGGAUUAGAUACCCCCGUAGUCC